GAUUAUCCUAAGCUUACCUUUGUACUUACCCUGUGUUGCUGGAGGAGAACUGACUGACAUUUUUUUCCUCAAUCGGACACAAACAGUGGAUAUUGUCAUAGUUGCAAUAAAAGUAAGAGGAAGCCUUCCUGUGUAACUGGAUGCCUGGCCUUCUCCUCCUGGAAGGAUUAACUGAGUUCACACUGAGCAGGGGAAAUCUUCCACAUGUGCCGUUCAAGUCCCCAUCAGAAAUCCAAGUUACAGUCCGCUCCAUUGCUGCUCAGGGUCCAACGAAUGUCUACCUGAUCACUCUCCAAUGAGUUCCCUCUUCUCUGAAUAAACCCACACCUACUGUAUCAAGGAAAAACAAGAACCCCCUCAAAUACUUUCCAGUUCCGGUUCAUCAGUUCUCUGGGUUCCAGAUUCAACUCCUGUACAGUCUUCUCACUAA